GGCGGCGUGCUUAACACAUGCAAGUCGAACGAAGAAGAGUUGAAUGAGAGCUUCGGCAGGAUUUCUUCUCAUCUUAGUGGCGGACGGGUGAGUAACGUGUGGGGCAACCUGCCCUGUACUGUGGAAUAAUCACUGGAAACGGUGACUAAUACCGCAUGUCAUCACUGGAAGGCAUCUUCCGGUGAAAAAAGGAGCAAUUCGGUACAGGAUGGGCCCGCAUCUGAUUAGCUAGUUGGUGAGAUAACAGCCCACCAAGGCGACGAUCAGUAGCCGACCUGAGAGGGUGAUCGGCCACAUUGGGACUGAGACACGGCCCAAACUCCUACGGGAGGCAGCAGUGGGGAAUAUUGCACAAUGGGGGAAACCCUGAUGCAGCAACGCCGCGUGAAGGAUGAAGGUUUUCGGAUCGUAAACUUCUAUCAACAGGGAAGAAACAAAUGACGGUACCUGAAUAAGAAGCCCCGGCUAACUACGUG
rnacentral:rRNA from 1 species